CGUAAUCAAAACGAUUACCGAAAACACGGAAUAUUUUAUCGGGGAGGGGGGCAGGGGGAAUAAAAAACCGAGUGCAUAUCGCAACGGUCGUAAUAAUAUUCAUAAAUAAUAAUAAUAAUAAUACCAAGACCUACCAAUAAACUCUGUGGCGAGACGACGCGUACCAUUGAUUGUCAUCGUGUUCUCGAUUUCCUGUUAUAUUACAUCACGGACACAGACGAUAACGCAUUUAUCAAAAACGUAUAGACGUACGUAUUAUAAAUUACGAUUAUUAUUAUCGCUACCGAGGGCGGUUUUCGUUGCGUUUUACCAUAAUAUAGUCAACGCCGACAUUAUAAUGUACGAGGUUUCAUAUUAUAUUAUAAUUUACAAAUGGUUU